rnacentral:lncRNA from 1 species
AUAAUUCAACAACAGAGUAUCAUUAACUUCAACAUAAUUCAACAACAUAACUAAAUGUGAGUUUACUAAGAUAAUUCAACAUACACGAUAAAACAAUUCAAGAAUAAUUACACUAACAAUACAAAAGCUAAAAAUCACUUUAACUUCAAACCAAGCCCAUAUUUAUUAAUUAUCACUAAUUCACAAGAAUUCCAACCAUGUAAAGCAAAACCAAAUAAAAUUAUACCACGGUCUUAGAUGCGUAUCUAAUUUCCAACAAAUCAAAGAAAAAUCAAAAGAACAACUAAGCGGGACCGAAACUUUCAGCGACACCGAAAAAUCGAACAAAUGGCUCGAAUGGAACCUCUCCGCUGCGUGUGCUCUAACAUGGGUGCGACUGACACGGAAAAGAGCAACGGAACAACAUACAAAGCUAGAUGGAUCGCUGGAUUUAACCAAACACUCGGCCAGAUCUAAAACUCGUCACAAAGGGAGAAAGGAGAGGAUGGCAGUAGAGUUGGUUUCUAACGACCUUGAUGGUAAGAAGAAGAAGAAGAAGAAGACACAACGACGGGAGUUUGGUUGUUGGGUGUGUUGAAAUGGAAAAUGGGUGUUUGUUUUUUGGUGUUACAUCGACUGAGAAGAUCAGUCUAUGGUGGGGAGAGGGGUUCAGAGAAGACAAGCUUCGAGGGGGGAGGGGAGGGGGUCCUUGAUGAAAGCUGCACAGCUUUUUGUUUGCAGAAUCUUAGGCGUUCUUUCAUUCCUCCUUUUUUUCAGAUUUUUAGCAUUACUUUAUAGGUUGAGUCUAGGUUUAGGUGUAUUUUUGUGUAUUUUGCCAAUUAGUUCCUAGGAAAGUAUUAAGUCCUUAGGGUCUUUUUAAUUUGUUUUUGCUCCAAAGAAGAGCUUAGAAGAGUCUAUAGACUACACAAUACCUUUUAAAAUACGAUAGAAAUACUAUACAAU